CACGGGGGCAACCCUGGUGGCGAGUGGCGAACGGGUGAGUAAUACAUCGGAACGUGUCCUGUAGUGGGGGAUAGCCCGGCGAAAGCCGGAUUAAUACCGCAUACGCUCUACGGAGGAAAGGGGGGGAUCUUAGGACCUCCCGCUACAGGGGCGGCCGAUGGCAGAUUAGCUAGUUGGUGGGGUAAAGGCCUACCAAGGCGACGAUCUGUAGCUGGUCUGAGAGGACGACCAGCCACACUGGGACUGAGACACGGCCCAGACUCCUACGGGAGGCAGCAGUGGGGAAUUUUGGACAAUGGGGGCAACCCUGAUCCAGCAAUGCCGCGUGUGUGAAGAAGGCCUUCGGGUUGUAAAGCACUUUUGUCCGGAAAGAAAACGCCGUGGUUAAUACCCGUGGCGGAUGACGGUACCGGAAGAAUAAGCACCGGCUAACUACGUGCCAGCAGCCGCGGUAAUACGUAGGGUGCAAGCGUUAAUCGGAAUUACUGGGCGUAAAGCGUGCGCAGGCGGUCCGCUAAGACAGAUGUGAAAUCCCCGGGCUUAACCUGGGAACUGCAUUUGUGACUGGCGGGCUAGAGUAUGGCAGAGGGGGGUAGAAUUCCACGUGUAGCAGUGAAAUGCGUAGAGAUGUGGAGGAAUACCGAUGGCGAAGGCAGCCCCCUGGGCCAAUACUGACGCUCAUGCACGAAAGCGUGGGGAGA
rnacentral:rRNA from 1 species